CUUGCUGGUAGUUCUACCAGGAGGACUCAAAUCACGCGCGGCUGGCCGCCAAUCACCAAUCACCAGCUACCAAUCACCUGCCUACACCUGCUCUAUAAAGAGUAGUCUAACAUAUGUCUUUGCUGCUCAGGUCUUCGUUCGACGCACCUCCAUCCACCCCACCACCACCAGGUCUUCGUUCGACGCACCUCCAUCCACCCCACCACCACCAGGUCGGCCUCAGUCUACUUGUCCAGGGGAAGGCUCCGCCCCUGCUAGUCCUGGCAGGAUACGCCGAGUCCGCACGUCACCCUGGAUCAGUGACGAGGCUUAUGCCAAAGAUUUACCAUGCAAAAUAUUCCCAUGUCGUUAUUUAAAUAAAUCCUGUUCAUACUUAUCGGUGAUCGAGUCUUUAUGGGAG
ensembl:lncRNA